rnacentral:lncRNA from 1 species
GUUGGCUUGGAUAUUUUGCUUUUGUGCCUAUUGAUUUAUGAAAAUCUCACUAUUGUGGCUUGUAUGCUCAUAUAAAUAUUAAAAUAAAAGAGUUUCCGAAGGUGUUCUGUGUUAUUCAGUAACUAAUUAAGGAGGAUCUUUGACCGGGAUCUGAAAUUUGUUGGUUCACGUUUGAUACACAACACAAAAAUCUAAUAUCACACUGGUUGGCUUGGAUAUUUUGCUUUUGUGCCUAUUGAUUUAUGAAAAUCUCACUAUUGUGGCUUGUAUGCUCAUAUAAAUAUUAAAAUAAAAGAGUUUCCGAAGGUGUUCUGUGUUAUUCAGUAACUAAUUAAGGAGGAUCUUUGACCGGGAUCUGAAAUUUGUUGGUUCACGUUUGAUACACAACACAAAAAUCUAAUAUCACACUGGUUG